rnacentral:rRNA from 1 species
CAGUAGCCGCGGUAAUACGGAGGGAGCUAGCGUUGUUCGGAAUUACUGGGCGUAAAGCGCACGUAGGCGGUUUAUCAAGUCAGAGGUGAAAGCCCGGGGCUCAACCCCGGAACUGCCUUUGAAACUAGUAGACUUGAAUCUUGGAGAGGUCAGUGGAAUUCCGAGUGUAGAGGUGAAAUUCGUAGAUAUUCGGAAGAACACCAGUGGCGAAGGCGACUGACUGGACAAGUAUUGACGCUGAGGUGCGAAAGCGUGGGGAGCAAACAGGAUUAGAUACCCGAGUAGUCCCUGUCUCUUAUAC